GGCACUGCAUGGGGACAAAGACCAGGCCUCUCGAAUGGACACCUUGCAGAAGUUCAAAUCGGGGAUUUACCAUGUUCUAGUUGCAACUGAUGUUGCCGCUCGUGGGCUAGACAUAAAGUCGAUAAAGUCGGUUGUUAACUAUGAUAUUGCAAAAGACAUGGACAUGCACAUCCAUCGUAUAGGGAGAACUGGCCGUGCUGGUGAUAAAGAUGGGACGGCCUACACUCUUAUUACGCUGAAGGAGGCACGCUUUGCUGGUGAACUGGUCNAUAAAGUCGGUUGUUAACUAUGAUAUUGCAAAAGACAUGGACAUGCACGUCCAUCGUAUAGGGAGAACUGGCCGUGCUGGUGAUAAAGAUGGGACGGCCUACACUCUUAUUACGCUGAAGGAGGCACGCUUUGCUGGUGAACUGGUCAACAGUUUGAUUGCUGCUG
rnacentral:lncRNA from 1 species